UACGAAGUUUCCCGAAAACUUUAAUCACAUAAACCAUGUUACAGUGCAUAGGUUGUUGGCAUUUGGUUUUGUCCUUGCCAAGACCUGCACUAUUCUUCAGAGAAACUCCACAGUGCAGCACACAUCAGUGAAGCUCUUAUCAAAACCACACACACACACAUACCAGGUUCAUUCAUGACAAAAGGGGUGAUCAUCCAAUUUCCAAGGCAGAGAGGAGAAGUGAGACAGACAACGAAACAUUGCAUUGAACUCUGAUGAAAGAUGAACAAUAUGGGCAGGCGUUUAUUCCACGCAACAAAUGCGGCUGGCAUGAACCAGCGAGCACUGCCCAGGACCUCACAAAUGUGCCGAGACAACAAAUUAACACACCCCACGACCAGACCAAAUGGAAACUACGGUAGACAGACAAAUCAUAACGCAGCCGACACUUCACCCUCCCGCUGAAUGCGCCUCUUCAUGCCCCAUUGCACCGCGCUAGUUGUCGGAGCUCUC
rnacentral:lncRNA from 1 species